rnacentral:lncRNA from 1 species
UUGAAGAUUCUGUUUCUCUUGCUAAAUAGCAGUUGUUGUCUAUUGCAAGAGAAUGGCGCUUCUCAGUUGAGUUGCUUUCCUUUAGCAAGACACCUCUCUACCUUUUGCAGAAGGGCCCAUUUCAAUACUUCUUAUCCGUGGGUACUUGCCUUUUGCAAAUGCUCAUCUCUUUUGCCGUCGUGGAAUCCUGCGAGAAUACCUCGAUCACCUGUUGCAUGCUAAGACAUGAUGGGGGAGGUGAGGAAAGGGCAAUAUGAAAAAGGAUAAAAAGAAAGAAUAAAAACAUAAAGAAAAAAAAAGAAUGAGAAAGAAAAAGAAUGAAAAGGAAUAAAAGCUAAGAGAAAGAC